UUUGGGAUUACGGUUUGUAAACCCCCGUUGUCUUCCUUUAUUUUCGUCCUACUCUUUUUCUUCCUAAUCCUCUCGUUCGCUACUGUUCUCUGCUUGCCUUUCCGCAUUGCAUUCUCGCGAGAGGACGUUCAUCUGUUCCUAGAUCUGCAAAUGUGCCUCAGAUCUCUAAACGAGUCUCUCGAUCAAUGGACUUCCCCGAUGGAAGUUCAGGAGACUAGCAUUUAAAGGUUCCUGUAGAUAGAAGUACUCUUUUGCGAAGGGAUCAUCAACAUCUUAUAUAUCAUAACAAAAGGAUGGUUCAGUAUGCAAUUGAGACUCAUUUAGUCUAACUUGUUAUGAAUGAACUUGUUUGUCAAUUACAUGGAUGACUAUCUUACUUUGGUAGCUCUGCCUGAUAGUGAAGAAUUCAGAUCUAUUGAGUCUGCAGGGAUGUUUUUAGUCAAUUAGUUUCUUAGAUCCAGUUUGAAUCAGGUUAUGUAAUGACAAAGUGUAUGCUGAAUUUACAGUAUUUUAUGUUGUCAAAUGAGUUGCCAUCCUUAUACAGGGUCAUAGGAAGCUUUUAAUCUAAUUUUUUUUAUUUUAAUUACUUUUGUAGUCCUAAUUUGUUUAUAGGAUAGUUUGGAAAACUUGAUUAGACAGUUUCAGAGGCCUCUUCAGGUAAAAAUUAAUGGAUGAUGAAAUUUUUUAUAAGGAACUUCUUCAAAGGCUUUCUUUCUUUGGGUACGGUUGAGAUAAAGUAUAUAUAGUAGAGGUUAUGGAUGAGUUAGAAACAAUGAGUUUAUAUGACUGAUUUUACAGAAAUAAAAAUACUUCUAUGAUUUUGAUAAACUUUACUUUCUUUUCUUCAGAAAACCCUAUCAUUCAUCAAGAUAUCAUAUAUAAAUCUACCAUAUUUUAUUGUCUAAAUACUAACAGAUAUUUGAUGCUCUUUUUACUUUUAAAGUAAGCUGCAAUUGAUAAAGAGCAGGCUGCUAGGAAAGAAACAUGCAAUGUUGCUGUGAAUUUCCAGGGAAUGAGGUGUAAAAUUGGAUGCAACCCUUCUCCCGUGUGAUCAUUGCUGGUGUUCGCCAUGCCUUCUCUUUUCCGUCUAAUGUUGGAGGAUAUAUUAUGUUGACUGGUCUGGUGGCGUGAAUUCCGGAAGCGAUUCUCCAUCAGAUGCCCUUUUUUCUGUUCUAGCCAUUGGGAUCUCCCCCAUCACUCUGCAAAAGUCAAAUAAAGUACGACAGUACAAGCCCAAAGUAUUGCAUACAUCUCUUGGAGACCUGAAGUUGAAUGCAGUGAUGAUACCGGCCAUCACGCAUCAGUGGUUAAAGAACUAAAAACCUUAUGGAGGAUGUAACGUGUAAGAAAUUGAGGUACGAGUUCGGCAUCAUCGGGUCAAAAAUGAAGUUUCCAAGUCAAUGACACUGAUUACUGGGCGGUACAUCACUUUUUCUUGGUGUGUUCAAGCAGCACUAGUGGUCAGGUUCCACAAGUGGGACACGAAUUGGACCGGUCACUUCAUCCUGUUUCUUGACGUUGCGAGCUAAGAUGGGUUGGUUGAUCUUGGACGAAGUGGCGGUGGAAUAUGUGCUUGCGGGGCGGGCUUGGCUACGAGUGCCGUGAUUGAACGAACUGCAUCAAGAUCAAACAGCAAAAGCAGCUUUGAGUUGCCAAAUGGCGUCGAGUAUGUUUGAGCUUUAGAACGAGAAUAAGACAAUGGAUGGCCAUUCUCAAGUUCAAGGUGAAACAAAUUGCCCACCCAUGAUUCGACAGGAGUUGUUACUAAGGCCAAAGCCAGAAGACUUGCUCUGCCACAUGGAACUCGGAACCACAUGAAGUAUCCUCGGG